UGUAGAAGCUAAAGGAACAUGUUUACUAGGUUUGUCAGAGCAGCAUAAAGAUGUACGUUCAGGUGACUGGACAGGACCUCCCGAGGUUUGGACCUCCACUGGCACCUGACAUCAUUCCCCAGGUGCCCCACGUCAUGGCGACACUAACGAAGAAAAACAAGAACAAUGCUUAUAGUGUUGCUUAAUCGCGGAAAUGAGAACCGGACACAUCACAAAAAACGGUAUCUGCAUGAGUCACGUGUCCAAAUGUGUUAGACCCACCAGAGAUAUAUCGGGUUUACUUGGAAAUGGUAGCGGUAGUUGUGCUGUUAUCAUUGACUUACACAACCGGACGGGCACUUCAAUGUGUACAUGGACGGGAUGAUGCUUAUUCACUCUUUACUUAAACCAUUUACUA